CGAUCUCAAAUCAGGUAUGACUACCCGCUGAACU
rnacentral:rRNA from 1 species